CGAAUCUGCGUACAAAUAAUGUCCAUGAAAUGAUUUAUGCGAGAAUAAUGGCCCCUGGCCGAUAUUUAACUCCGAUCAUUUACGUUUCCAGCGACUAUUGUACCUUCUCGCUUUUAUUUCUCUUGCCCACCAUGUUACCGUUCAUAUCUUGCGGUCGUUGGUCGUCGGCGUGUGAAACAAAGAAUUUUAUAAAAUAGCAAGUUUGCAAUUUGAUGGAUCGGUUUGUCGUGUACGCGGGAUAUUCAAGUAGCUGCUAUCCGAUGUUUAUCACGCGAACGAUAGCUUUGCGAAAGAGGCAGAAGAAGACACAGAAUUUCGCUGUCGUCUUCGAUAGGGAUCGUAAUAAGAAAUCGCCGAUAUGAAGCAUCGACCGACGUUUGCUGUUGCGUUGCUUUCGAAAGACGUUGAAACUUCCACCUUCUCAUAUUUUCACGUUUCGCGGGGAACGUUACCUGGCCGUAACUACGCGAACACCCUGUGUAUACAAUUUAUUUUGGAAAUAAUUUAAUCACUACGUCGCUUUGCAUCGUUCGUGUGAUAUAACCGAAUCGCGGAUGCGUUUGAUUUAUUUAACCCCACGUUGCCAGCACACGGUUAAAUAAUUAAGGAAAAUCAGGUGAAAACUUUAACAAGCGAUGCGACAUUCGCGAUAACGUUAGAAACAUUAAUUCAAACGUAACUGACGGCUGCUACCACAUAAUAAAACGAUUAAAGCUAACGAUAUUUAAAUAUCGCUGUGUAAUUUCAACGCGCAGCGGUUGCACGUCCGAUGGUAAAAAAAAAUUUCCCGAUCGGAAAUUACAUUUUCAUAACAAAUUCAAUUUCCUUUUAUCUGUCUUAAUGAAAACUGUAAUGAAAAAAUUCUACUUAAAACUUGGUUAAUUGUAUCGCGCCUCUCGCAGGCGCGGUGGUAUAAAAGGAAAAAGCCUAUUCUUAAUCGUUCGUUUAAACCAAUUAUUAUUGCUCGUUAUUAUCGUAUCGUCACCAUUAUGUUCGUAAGUAACAGCUCUUUCCUAUACUCUCGUUCCUUGCGUCCAAUCAUUCGUACAAGUUUACACGCGCUGAAAGCGCGUUUACGAUCCCCUAACAACACGUAUAAUGCGAUACACCUUUACAAUAGGCGAAAGGAUGGAACGUUUCUCGCGUUGAUUUGCAUCGCAAACGAGUUGCACGGAUUUUCGUUCCGUUGUAAUACAGAUAUUGGGAAAAAUCCUGUAUCGGGGCACGCUCCGAGGGGCCACUUGCAGAGUAAUUGCAUUCGAAAGCACGGUCGAUAGCAAAAGAGAGAGGGGGGGGGGGAAAUGAAGAGGGAGGGAAAGAAAUGCCGGUCUCGAAGCGAGCAAUACAGUGGCUCGCAAAAGUAUUCCAACGUUCGAAGCUUUUCUUUGUACAGAUUAUAAAAAAUAUUUUCUUUCGUUAGCGCCGUAACGAGACUCGACUGUCGUCGUUACAUCGAUGAAAUUUCAAACCAACGAAGAUGCGCGUACGGAAGUUACGAGAUACUCGUUGAAAGUGUACGUUUCGCGAAGAUUACCAAAGUACUUGAACGGACAGUUAUUCGCUAGAUUAUCUUUAGCGCUGGUCCUAUGUUUAAGACUUUUCUAUUAAGAUUAUUUUCUAUCAUUAUUCGCGCUGUAUGCCGAUUUUCCAGCGAGCGUACGUUUCCAAUGAACGGCGUGUAACACUUUUAUGUACAGUUUCAAGAUGCUUCCAAAUCGUAUCGUUGCAAUCAUCGAUAGUCGUGUCUCGUCGUAGUGCCGGCAACCUUUGAAGAAGCUUUGAAGAAGUAGAAUGCAUGUAAUAUCUAGAUAAAUGAUACAUUAGGUCGUGCGAAAAGUUUCUUUCGUUUUAGAAGGAGAUAAUGGAUGCACAUUUUCCGUUUUAUAUUAUUUUAUCGAAUUACGUACGAUCCAUUUUCUUCUAUCAAACUAAAGAUCACGACGUCCGACGGAUUAGGUUUCACGUUUGUAUAAAGAUGCGUCGUUGUAAAAAACACGUGUCUGUAGAAGACAGACGCUUUCCGGACAACCUAAUACGUUGGCAAAAGCAAAAGUAGUAAAUGCUGGAAUACUUUCGUGAGUCACUGUACCUUCGCUUUGUAACGAAGAGAACGUUACGCAAUCUUGUGCUGUCGCGUCGCGGUAAAUAUCGAAGAUCAAUGAUAUAAUUAGGGAUAUCGAAUCCUUUAAAUGCAUUCUGUCGUCUUAAGGAACGAAUAGCCGAAGAGAACGUGACGCUAUAGACUAUGGUAUAUAUAAAUACCAUGUGUCCUAUUUACAGUUUGUUCCAAAACAAUGGCGUUCAAUUCAAUUGUAUCAGUCGCUCUGGAAACGCGACGCGCGUAAUAAUUGACUCUGUUUAGUUUCACCGAAUUCUCUCUUUUUUCUCCCCUCCCCCCCCCCUGUAUUUUCCUUUUUUCCCGUCUCUCUUUCCCCUAACUUCUCUGUCAGUUCCAUUACCAGCCGGAGUCUGUGCGAGGAUAUCGGGUUGAACGCAUUAAUUACUUUCAUGAUCGACUAAAUUGCACGGACUGAUGCCGGCGAAUUGUAUUGUUUUGCUACCGUACUCACGCCAUUGCCGCUGCACUCGCUACAUCCAUGCAAUUUUCCUUUUAAUUUAGCUUGCAAUUUCUUUCGCGACCAUUUUUCCCCGAUUCUUAUUCGACUGAAAAAUGUUACUCUCUAUCGACAGACAAAUAACACAGUUCGGCAUUGAUUGCUUUCACUUUUUCUCGCAAAACCGCUGGAAAUAGUUGAAAAUGAAUUUAACGUUUCAGCUGUUAAGCGCUUUAUGUAUGUGCCGUUUCAGAUAAAUGAGAAGAACGUUUUAAAAAGACAGUCAAUGGCUUAUACAUAUGCGCUCUAUACGAUUUAUUACACAGACAAAUUGAUCAGUAUAUUGUUUCUUAUUAUACAGGGAUACUAAAUAUCGAUCUAAUAUCUGGUAGAAAUAAUCUUCCAUGUGCAUUCAAUCGUUUUGUAGUCUACGUACGUAGUAACUUGUAUUAUUUUACUCUUCAGCAAUACGAACGUCGUACAAUGUUCUGCUGUCUACUGCGAAUUUUAGAGUACAAUUUCUGUGAAGAAGGUGAAUUUACGCAACGACUAUGUAGCACAGUUUUAAAUGGUAAAAAAUGGAAACAGGAGCAGGAAUAGGAAAAAUUGUACAAUCACAAUUUUCAUUGCACGAUAUUGAAAAUUAAGCGAUAUUUCGAUAUUAAUAGAAGCUGUUCACUUUAAAUUAAUACGAUGCUGUACACGAGAAUCCUGCCCGAUGCAUAUCCAUGAACGUCAAUACAGUGCGCGUUUCGUAUUUAAUUGUAUAUCAUUAUAUAAAUCAAAUUCGUUCAUUUAAUACACAGACAGACACGCUAUACCAUUUAGAACCCUUUGAUCAGAUACGCCAUUACUGGCCAUCAGUUUGCUAUUAAUUCCACGUUUCCUGCCAUUGCCGUUUGAAAAUUCUUCUGUCCCAGUUGUUCGUUAAGGUUCACUUGUUGAUCUUCCAAAUAUUUCUUUACACUUUUUUUUUUAUUUUUUUCUUUUAACGACAUCCUAUUGCGAAUCGUUCUUACGCAAAUUUAAUUAGUUUUAACGGGCGAAUGGCAAGCCAAUUUCGCAGAUUAUACCGUAAUCCUGUUAGAGUAAUAUCGAUUCCAUUUAACUUUCACGGGAUUCAAUUGUACAACCUAUUUCGAUUUCUUUCUGCGAUUAAUACGUUCACCGAUUUAUUCAUAACAUUCCGCAUUAUGGGACGUGAACGAGAGCACGUGAAUUAUUACGCGCAGUAAUGAAUACUGUCUGUUAAUCGCCACUGAUUACGCGGGUAAACCCGAAAACGAAUUUUACGCGUUCAAUCGCUUAACAGGGAAUUUUCAUAACUGAGAAAGUUUGCAACGUAGAAAACCUAGUUAAUACGCGUGGAUGCUCGUACGUUCAUAGGAGAUUUACAGAUACAAGAACGCAGAGAAUUCGCGUGAAACGCAAACGCUCGCGGAUAUAUUAUUAUUAUUAUUAUUACUGCGCUUAGUCCGUGUCUUUCGGCUUUGGACCGAAUCCCAAAGGUUUCACGUCUCUUUUAUCUAAUUUCGCUUCUUAUACAUCUACCUGCCCUCUUAUCCACUCUAUUAUAUUGCGCUCCCUCAAUUAUUCUGUCUCUAAAGACUAAAAAAUCUAAUAACUAAAAACUAUUGCAACUUUUGGACUUUUGCCUGGUUGCUGCGCUUCCUUCUUGCCGUUCCUCCCCGUCUUCUAUUGCCCUUCCCUUCUCUAUCAUUGCUUUUAGAUAUAAACAGAUCGAUGAGAAUAAUUUUUGAAUCGUGGAAGAUAACUUUUUGGGAUAUUUGAAAUAUCGGAAGAAGGUCUGUGAGACGGGAAAAUUUCCAAGUGCUAAUAUAUAAUUCGACCGUUCGAUAUGAACGACAAACAUUGAUGUGAAUAAAUACGUGCGAGUGAAUUUCUCCGAGGGAAUCGAAGUAAGAGAAGAAACGAGGGCCCACGUAAUUUCUAUUAUAUCAUCCCAAGGGUUUCCGUAAGAUUGUUCGGCUUCCUUUAUACCCGGGAAACUUGAUUCUUGUCUUUGGUAUUGGUCUGUGUUCCGUGUGCUUCACAUCGCAUCCGAGUUUAGAGGAAGCGCGACGAGUAUAUUCCUCUGCUUUGACUUCGCUGCUCUUUCUAUUUGGAUUUUUUUAUCAAGUGCAGACACGUAUAACGCGUGUGUAAUAUCACGAAAACGAAAGAAGAAAGGCCUUUUGUGUCGUCCGUAAAGCGAAGACGAGGUGGGAAUGGUAUAAAUUGGAGAAUCGCAACAGGAUUGAAGUUUUGGAACAUGAGGAUCCGGUAUCCGUUUUCUAUUCCACGUAUCGCUCUUGAUUCGUUCGAUUUAUGUACGAUUAAAGCAAACGAAUCCAUCUUCCGAGUGAUUUAAUAAUGGAAGAAAGUACACAAAAAUUCGAUUUCCUCUAUCAAUAUCUGCAGGGCAACACUGGUCGCUCGUCUAUCGCAAAUCCUCUUAUAAAUCGUGUAUAAUCUUUUUUACACUAACGCAUGCUUCCGCUGUUUCGGAUGUAAACUGUCGAUUAUUCAUGGGAUUGCACGAUAAACCGGUGAGUGUUUGAAUCCGAUGAGAGGUUGAACUUUUUUAAACCCAUAACCAAUGUAGCCUUUCGUUUCGCGAACACGGGAAACUAGUAUCAGAAAAACUACGGAACGAAGAAGCUUAAGCAUUGGCAAUUACGCGAAUAACAAAAAACUUUAAUAUUAUCAUUUGUCUGUACGUAAUCCUUGUCUCGCGGCUUAGGAUGGCUUCCGGUUUGUACAUCCCCCUUUUCUAUUUUAUAAAAAAAAAAAAAAAAAAAAAAAUUUGAAUACGUAGUACGGCAAAGAUAUUUUGAUUUAUUUGAUUCUUUAUUAAAAUCAAACGAGAUAACGCUUCGGAUUAUUUUAUUGAUUCAAAACGAAAUAAAAGCUCGCUAUUGUUUCUGAUGGCUCGGAAAAUACGUUCUUUAAACAGCAAUAUGUAUAUAAAAGUGAUACGAAAGGGAGGAGACAAUAAGCUCGUAAUUCGUUAAAAAGGAAAACAGAGGAAAGUUCGUCGAACUUGCGCGUUUACCUGCUUUGCGUAUACGCAUGUGAAAAUAUUAAAACGCACAUUGCACGCAUCUCGUGACGCGUAAUCGCCAACGUAUUAUGUAUGUUUGCAUUGGAAACUACAGCCUCGUGAGCCUUGCUAGCUCGGCAUCGCGUUUCUAAAGUUUAACAUUAACGAUACAGAAUCGAUUGCUUCAUUAGAACGUGUGCGUUGAUAACGCAUCGUUAGGAGGUUUUGUAAUGCGUGACUGCGUUAUGUUUAACCUAGAUUUUUUAAUCGCGUCGCAGUAAAUACAUUUCACUGAUGUAAUGUUAAUCUUACUACGUUUUUUGUGUCAUUUUCGAACGAGUCGUAUUUUUCUUAUAGAAAUUGCAGAUUAUGCAGUUGAAGAUAUUAGGUUCGUACAGGUUAGGAAAAUUUCUUCAAUUCGAGAAAAAUAGAUAGCUAUGAAGAUUGUCUUAGAACAUUAAAUGUUCUUCUUUCGGUUGAAACGAAAGUGAAUAAGUUGAUAUAUACAAAUUUCGAGUUGUAUUUUUCUUAAAGAAACAAGAGAUUAUAUAGUUGAAGAUAUUAGGUUCAUACAGGUUAGGAAAAUUUCUUCAAUUCGAGGAAGAUAAUGAUAAAGAUUGUCUUAAAACAUUAAAUUUUGGUUGAAACGAAAGUGAAUAAGUUGAUAGAUACAAAUUUCGAGCCGUAUUUUUCUUAUAGAAAUUAUAUAUAUAGAGAUUAUAUAGUUGAAGAUAUUAGGUCCGUACAGGUUAGGAAAAUUUCUUCAAUUCGAGGAAGAUAAUGAUGAAGAUUGUCUUAGAAUAUUAAAUUUUGGUUGAAACGAAAGCGAAUAAAUUGAUAUAUACAAAUUUCGAGUCGUAUUUUUCUUAUAGAAAUCAGAGAUUAUAUAGUUGAAGAUAUUAGGUUCGUACAGGUUAGGAAAAUUUCUUCAAUUCGAGGAAGAUAGACAGCGAUGAAGAUUGUCUCAGAACAUCGAACGUUCUUCUGUAGCUGAUCGUAGCAGCUUAAGUAUAAUGAUACAUGUAACAGGAAAUGGUAUUUAUCGUAAACAAACAUUCUGUUGAAUAACAGAACGUUCGGAUAUACGGAUAAUGUAUGCACCCAUAUUUAUUUUUUAACGAGUACGUCCUCGGUUAGAUACUAUUAUUUAUCGUGGAAUAUAAAUAACCGGGCAAUGUUACACUGACAUUCAUUUCUUAUUUUGUAUAUUUCUUGUAGAUAAUAUUUUUAUAUAGAAUUUUUCGCAUACAAAAUCGUUACGUUAUCUUGACAUUUACUGUUUUCACGUCGUUUAAUAUUAAACGCGAUUCGGUCGCAUAUGCCGUAUCUGUUGCGAUCGUUCCGAUACGAAUUGAUUUAAAAAUAUUUAACAGGCAGCCGGAAACACCGAACAGUAGUUAUUUGUAUUAAUUUUUAAUUAGAAGUAUUUGCCCCGUUUUAUAGAUAAACGUCGAAAUUGUAUUAUUUGAAAUGAUAUUCGACUCGAUUAAAGGUUUAUAAUUAUU